rnacentral:rRNA from 1 species
AUUGAACGCUGGCGGCAGGCCUAACACAUGCAAGUCGAACGGAUCCUUCGGGAUUAGUGGCGGACGGGUGAGUAACGCGUGGGAACAUACCCUUUGGUACGGAAUAGCCUCGGGAAACUGGGAGUAAUACCGUAUGUGGUCGAGAGACGAAAGAUUUAUCGCCAAAGGAGUGGCCCGCGUUGGAUUAGGUAGUUGGUGGGGUAAUGGCCUACCAAGCCGACGAUCCAUAGCUGGUUUGAGAGGAUGAUCAGCCACACUGGGACUGAGACACGGCCCAGACUCAUACGGGAGGAAGCAGUGGGGAAUCUUAGAAAAUGGGGGAAACCCUGAUCUAUCCAUGCCGCGUGAUCGAUGAAGGCCUUAGGGUUGUAAAGAUCUUUCAGGUGGGAAGAUAAUGACUGUACCACCAGAAGAAGCCCCGGCUAACUCCGUGCCAGCAGCCGCAGUAA